UACGGAGGGUGCAAGCAUUAAUCGGAUUUAUUGGGCGUAAAGGGCGCGUAGGCGGGGAUGUCAGUCAGAUGUGAAAUCCCGGGGCUCAACCUCGGAACAGCAUUUGAAACUACAUCUCUAGAGGGUAGGCGGAGAAAACGGAAUUCCACAAGUAGCGGUGAAAUGCGUAGAUAUGUGGAAGAACACCGGUGGCGAAGGCGGUUUUUUCUAGCUUAUUCCUGACGCUAAAAGCGCGAAAAGCAAGGGG
rnacentral:rRNA from 1 species